rnacentral:Y_RNA from 1 species
GGUCCGAGUACAAUGGUGUUUACAAUUAAUUGAUCACAGCCAGUUGCAGAUUUCUUUAUUCCUUCUCCACUGCCAUUACUUCACUUGACAAACCCUGU